GGCGAGUGAAGCAGCAAUAGCUCAAAUUUGAAAUCUGGCGUCUUCGACGUCCGAGUUGUAAUUUGUAGAGGAUGCUUCUGAGUAACCACCGACCUAAGUUCCUUGGAACAGGACGUCAUAGAGGGUGAGAAUCCCGUAUGCGGUCGGAAAGGUGCUCUAUACGUAGCUCCUUCGACGAGUCGAGUUGUUUGGGAAUGCAGCUCUAAAUGGGAGGUAAAUUUCUUCUAAAGCUAAAUAUUGGCCAGAGACCGAUAGCGCACAAGUAGAGUGAUCGAAAGAUGAAAAGCACUUUGGAAAGAGAGUUAAAAAGCACGUGAAAUUGUUAAAAGGGAAGGGAUUGCAACCAGACUUGCUCGCGGUGUUCCGCCGGUCUUCUGACCGGUCUACUCGCCGCGUUGCAGGCCAGCAUCGUCUGGUGCCGCUGGAUAAGACUUGAGGAAUGUAGCUCCCUCGGGAGUGUUAUAGCCUCUUGUGAUGCAGCGAGCGCCGGGCGAGGUCCGCGCUUCGGCUAGGAU
rnacentral:rRNA from 1 species